rnacentral:rRNA from 1 species
AACCUUUACACUGCACGACAGUGCGAUAAGGGGACUCCGAGUGCGAGGGCAUAUCGUCCUCGCUUUUGUGUACCGUAGGGCGGUACACGAAUAAGAGCUGGGCAAGACCGGUGCCAGCCGCCGCGGUAAUACCGGCAGCUCAAGUGAUGGCCAAUCUUAUUGGGCCUAAAGCGUCCGUAGCUGGCCCUGAAAGUCCGUCGGGAAAUCCACACGCUCAACGUGUGGGCGUCCGGCGGAAACUUCAGGGCUUGGGACCGGAAGGCUCGAGAGGUACGUCCGGGGUAGGAGUGAAAUCCUGUAAUCCCGGACGGACCACCGAUGGCGAAAGCAUCUCGAGAAAACGGAUCCGACAGUGAGGGACGAAAGCUAGGGUCUCGAACCGGAUUAGAUACCCGGGUAGUCCUAGCCGUAAACGAUGUUCGCUAGGUGUGGCACAGGCUACGCGCCUGUGCUGUGCCGUAGGGAAGCCGAGAAGCGAACCGCCUGGGAAGUACGUCUGCAAGGAUGAAACUUAA